rnacentral:rRNA from 1 species
AACGCUAGCUACAGGCUUAACACAUGCAAGUCGAGGGGAAACGAUAUUGGAAGCUUGCUUCCGAUAGGCGUCGACCGGCGCACGGGUGAGUAACGCGUAUCCAACCUGCCCAUCACUUGGGGAUAACCUUGCGAAAGUAAGACUAAUACCCAAUGAUAUCUCUAGAAGACAUCUGAAAGAGAUUAAAGAUUUAUCGGUGAUGGAUGGGGAUGCGUCUGAUUAGCUUGUUGGCGGGGUAACGGCCCACCAAGGCGACGAUCUGUAGGGGUUCUGAGAGGAAGGUCCCCCACAUUGGAACUGAGACACGGUCCAAACUCCUACGGGAGGCAGCAGUGAGGAAUAUUGGUCAAUGGACGAGAGUCUGAACCAGCCAAGUAGCGUGCAGGAUGACGGCCCUAUGGGUUGUAAACUGCUUUUAUAAGGGAAUAAAGUGAGCCUCGUGAGGCUUUUUGCAUGUACCUUAUGAAUAAGGACCGGCUAAUUCCGUGCCAGCAGCCGCGGUAAUACGGAAGGUCCGGGCGUUAUCCGGAUUUAUUGGGUUUAAAGGGAGCGUAGGCCGGAGAUUAAGCGUGUUGUGAAAUGUAGACGCUCAACGUCUGCACUGCAGCGCGAACUGGUUUCCUUGAGUACGCACAAAGUGGGCGGAAUUCGUGGUGUAGCGGUGAAAUGCUUAGAUAUCACGAAGAACUCCGAUUG